UGGUUGGUGGUUGAACUUCGAUUUUAAGUAUUUAAAUAAAAUGAAAUCUGUUCAUUCUCCGACACA
rnacentral:pre_miRNA from 1 species